AAAAACUGUCUCCACUUUGUUUACUCUUCCUUCACUCUUCAUUGGCUUUCAGGAGCUCCAAAAGAAGUUCAGGACAAGAGCUCUCCAGCCUGGAACAAAGGGAGGAUAUUUUACCCCAAUGCGAACAAAGAAGUCAUCAAAGCAUAUGCAGCUCAAUUUGCUAAAGACAUGGAGGUUUUUCUCUGUGCUAGAGCGCAAGAAGUUGUUCGAGGAGGACUAAUGGUGCUUACCAUUAUCACCCGUCAAGACGGAGCUCCUCAUUCUCAAGUUUCUGCCAACAGGUCUUUAUAUUUGUUGGAAUCUUGCCUCGUGGACAUGGUCAAGAAGGUAAAACAAAUGAUGUUAGUCAAAUGCUCCUAGAAAUUCUCUAAAUUGCUAUUGAAAAUUUCUGUUCAUAUUCUUAGAUUUCCCGUGUAUAUUUCCGUAAAAUAAGAAAUACUUUUCCAUUAGAACACUAGGAAUAGGGGUCAUACUUUGGCAAAACAAAUGAGCCUACGGUUUCCUUCUUCAAUUUUCUGG
rnacentral:lncRNA from 1 species